rnacentral:rRNA from 1 species
AGCUCCAAUAGCGUAUAUUUAAGUUGCUGCAGUUAAAAAGCUCGUAGUCGGACUUCGGGUAGGUCCCUUCGGUCUAGCCUGGUGUUAUGCACUGUCGGUAUCUACCCCUCCUGCCAUACAAGGUUGUGGCGUACGCGUUCAGCGUGUGCACGCUUUGUGUGGUCCCGUUACUGUGAGUAAAUUAGGGUGUUCAAGGCAGGCGUACGCCGUGAAUACACUAGCAUGGAAUAACAUGAUAGGACCUUGGCCUCUCUGGUUGGUCUGAAAGGCUAGGGUAACGAUUAAGAGGGACAGUCGGGGGCAUUCGUAUUUCAUUGUCAGAGGUGAAAUUCUUGGAUCUAUGAAAGACGAACACCUGCGAAAGCGUUUGCCAAGGAUGUUUUCAUUGAUCAAGAACGAAAGU